GAUGAAGAACGUAGCGAAAUGCGAUAAGUAAUGUGAAUUGCAGAAUUCAGUGAAUCAUCGAAUCUUUGAACGCACAUUGCGCCCGCUAGUACUCUAGCGGGCAUGCCUGUUCGAGCGUCAUUUCAACCCUCAAGCCCUGCUUGGUGUUGGGGCCCUACGGCUGCCGUAGGCCCUGAAAGGAAGUGGCGGGCUCGCUACAACUCCGAGCGUAGUAAUUCAUUAUCUCGCUUAGGGUGUUGUGCGGUGCUCCAGCCGUUAAAGACCAUCUUUAACUCAAGGUUGACCUCGGAUCAGGUAGGAAUACCCGCUGAACUUAAGCAUAUCAAUAAGCGGAGG
rnacentral:misc_RNA from 1 species